GAUGAACGCUGGCGGCGUGCCUAAUACAUGCAAGUCGAGCGAACAGACGAGGAGCUUGCUCCUCUGCCGUUAGCGGCGGACGGGUGAGUAACACGUGGAUAACCUACCUAUAAGACUGGGAUAAAUUCGGGAAACCGGAGCUAAUACCGGAUAAUAUAUUGAACCGCAUGGUUCAAUAGUGAAAGACGGUUUUGCUGUCACUUAUAGAUGGAUCCGCGCCGCAUUAGCUAGUUGGUAAGGUAACGGCUUACCAAGGCAACGAUGCGUAGCCGACCUGAGAGGGUGAUCGGCCACACUGGAACUGAGACACGGUCCAGACUCCUACGGGAGGCAGCAGUAGGGAAUCUUCCGCAAUGGGCGAAAGCUUGACGGAGCAACGCCGCGUGAGUGAUGAAGGUCUUCGGAUCGUAAAACUCUGUUAUUAGGGAAGAACAAAUGUGUAAGUAACUAUGCACGUCUUGACGGUACCUAAUCAGAAAGCCACGGCUAACUACGUG
rnacentral:rRNA from 1 species